rnacentral:tRNA from 1 species
GAGAAAUGUAUACACUACGAGAAGAGGUUUCUAACCUUGACUUCUGCGGCUAAGCCCGCUCUUUCUCC